GUAUGUGAGGGUGAUCUGGCUGUGACAUCUGUCACCUCAUUGAUCACCAGGGUUGAUUCAGCUGAUCUAGCUGGCUAGGCGGGUGUUCCCCUCCUCCCUCACCACUUCAUGUGUGUCCCUCCUGAAGCUGCAUGCUCAGUCAAAGAGGACAGCCUUCCUGAAUAGAGAUGGACCAGUCUUCGGUCUUCAGUCAAAGGUAUACGAGUAGCUGCGCUCCCCUGCUAGAACCUCCAAACAAGCUCUCAAGGUCCAUAAGUUAGAGAUAAGCAGUGCUAUGAUAUUAAGAAUAAAUAAAUAAACAAGCAAAUAAAUAACUAUGUAGAGUAUUGUGCUACAGCUUGUGUUU
rnacentral:snRNA from 1 species